GCCUGGGUGGCUCAGUAGGUUAAGCGUCCGACUUCAGCUCAGGUCAUGAUCUCACGGUUCGUGGGUUCGAGCCCCACAUCGGGCU
rnacentral:tRNA from 1 species